rnacentral:rRNA from 1 species
UACGAAGGGGGCUAGCGUUGCUCGGAAUCACUGGGCGUAAAAGGGUGCGUAGGCGGGUCUUUAAGUCAGGGGUGAAAUCCUGGAGCUCAACUCCAGAACUGCCUUUGAUACUGAGGAUCUUGAGUUCGGGAGAGGUGAGUGGAACUGCGAGUGUAGAGGUGAAAUUCGUAGAUAUUCGCAAGAACACCAGUGGCGAAGGCGGCUCACUGGCCCGAUACUGACGCUGAGGCACGAAAGCGUGGGGAGCAAACAGG